rnacentral:misc_RNA from 1 species
AUACGACUUGUUCGAAGUUCAGGUAAAGAGUUUUGAACAACUGUUUCUCUUACGACAUAGUUCCAUCAC